AAAACACUUUCCCUAAAUUAACCACAAAACUAGAAAAAUGUGCGAACUCUUCUGCCUUCGCCUUCACCUUAGUGAACCAACUUCCUGAAACACAUUCACAUUCAACUUCGCAAGCCCUAAAUUUUGCUUUCACUCCCUCCUUCAUAGGCGAACUCUUCAGCGCCGACGACGAUAAGUUUGGAUUUUUCUGCUUCCGCACCGGCGGCGAUUUUCUUUAUCUUCCCCUUCCAUCUGUCGAGAAGCAUUGCCGUCGAUUUCUUGUUUCUCCCAAACAUGGUGAGCCAGGGUUUCACUUAUUUAGAUUUCUUAUGUGCCUAGGUGCAACUGCUGCAAGAGCUUUCAAAUAUGUCCUUUAGAGCAUUUUUCUUUCUUUUGAAGGGAUUGACUGAAACAAAAUCAACAUGUUGCUGAAUUGGAAAGUUCAAUGGAGAAGGUCUAUGCUUGAAAGUGUGAAUGCUCUAGCAGCUGGAAGGAUUGCAGGCAUUGAUCCUUUAGAAUAGAUAAACCGAAGAUGCAUUCACAUUGUCAAAAGUAUACGGUUGACCAUGGUGGGUGUGCCCUGUGUGGGUAAUGCCCUAUUAUUUUCAUGUCGUUAUUGACACAUUUUUUAUGCUAUAGUUUGUGACAUAUAUAUGUACUUGAUUCUUGUAUUGUUUCUUUAGUAAUGUUUGAUAUCAUGUACAAAUGUCAUGAUUUCGUUAAAUUAUUUGGUCCUUGGACAAUAAUUAUUUGUGAUCAAGUAUUGCUUUAUUUGUAUUAUUAUAUAUUGCCAAGCCUAAA